AUGUGCAGACAUCACACAAGCAACAUUGAACUUUUCACCUCCCUAUUUACCUCCAUUUUCAUCUUCUAUGCAUUCUUAGAAAAAAAACCCUAAUACUCUUCAUUGUGAACCAGCCACAUAUCAGACCUUCUAUCUGUUUCCUUCUCACACUCUCAACCCUAGACAAUCUACACACACAAGCAGACACCCCCUCCCCUGUCUCGUGCCUUGACCGGCGACCGGAGUAACUCCGGCGCCCACCUUCUCCGCCCAAGACGCACCCCGAAAACCCCUCUGGUUCUCCUCCCUUUGACUGACGAACGGCCACCACCACCAUUGUCCGGUGGUGGCGUAUGGCGGCGUCUGCAUAAACGAGAGAGAGAGACGAAGAGCGUGAGAGAGAGAGAGAAAAGUCAGGAGAUGAAAGGAGAAAGCUGGCGACCGGUGACGACGCACGACGGCGGGCGGCGACGGCGGCCAGCGACGACUCUCGGCGGCGGCAAUGGAAGUGACGGCGGCGGUUCAAGGCCUUCGACAGUUCCGGUUCGUCUCCAGCGGGUCUGGUUCAGGUUUGCGAAUCGUGUUUUGGGCCAGCAGGUUCAAGUCGGUUGCAUUCCGCUCUCGGCUGCACAUCUCGGGUCAACAGUGAGUUCGAGUCUUGGUUCUGUGCGGGUCAGAUUUCGUUGAUUUAGAGGACGGCUCGGGUCACGGUCUGGUUGGGAUUCAGUCAACUGUCGAGUCAAACGGUCAAGCCCGGUCGACUAACGGGUCAAUGGCUCAUUCUAGAUUCGGUCAAUCGCUCUUGUUCGUUCUCUUGGAAUUCCGUUUACUCAUGCACCAUCGUCUGCCCAUAUAGGGUGACCUCGGUGUUCCAUCAUCCUUACCUCACACUCGUCGACACUUGGAUAAUCGGAAGACUUAGCAAUUAUGUUGUUAGACAAGACGAUGAAGAAAUCAAGUUAGGAUGGACUUAGAUACUCAUUCAAUAAUAAACAAUGUUGUUGCAAUUUGUCUUAUUUGAAACCAUGUAUUCAAAUUUUAGUCAUUUAUGAAAUUGGAUUUAA